ensembl:lncRNA
UCCAUAUAUAUAUAAACAUGUACAGGAACUUUAUUGGACACUAUACUAUCCUAGUUUGAAAAUUUUGCCCUUUCCUCCAUUUUCAUUGCCAAUAAUUAACCAGUAUUGUCAUUUUGGAUGGUUUUGAGUCUUUCUUGGCAAGUUUCCAGUUACUGUGAACAUUAUUCAUCACAUGUUGGACACAUCUUUAUACAUUAUGGAUAUAUGAGUCAUCUUUGGUUGAUUUAAAGUCUAAAUAUCUAAAAAAGAAAAACAAAAAAAACAAAACUGGAACCUUCUCUGGUCAGACUUUCCCCACAUCAGAUUCUGCUGAUGGUAGAGACUCAAAGGUUGAUGAAAUGUCGACUAAAGACUGUAUUUUAGUAGAAAUAUGGAUCCAUCCAUAUUUAUGCAUGGACUUUAUGGAGACACUAUACCAUGUUUGCUUUUUUUUUGCACUUUUAUCCAUUUUCAAGGACCAAUCAUUUCGAAAUAUUCUCUGCUGGGAGCAGUUUUGUCCACAUCCUCAUCAAAUUUCAUUACUGUCAGAGUUUUGAGUAUUUUUGGAGAUCCUUUAAAUGGAUUAAAAUAAGUUUUUUUUUAGGGUGAAGUUCUCAAUAUUCAGCUAAAAUAUUUUACAGAACUUAGUUUUGGACAAAAUAAAAAUCAAGUGAAACUUGAGACGGCGGAGGAACACUGCCGUCUACCUCCAUGGUUGUUGUCCUGGCAACUGUUAAAGGUACGUAGGUUGGAAAUAGCCAGUUUGUAAGGCCGGAGAUAUACUUGUGUUUUAACUACGCAUGCACGUCGAUGACCAGCUACGUCUUGAAUGUAACCGUUAACACAUUUGCCUUUUCACUGAAGGACUGGAGAUCACACAGUACAGGACACACAUGGCGACACGUGAGAAACUUUGUGAUGUUUUAUGCAUCAUUGAUUCUGUGAAUGAGCACAAACAAAUGCAGGACACACUAACGCAUGGUUAAAACCAAGUAUAUCUCCUGCUGUAGCUUCAGCGAGGCGCCAGCGUUGGUUGGACUUGGACCUGAUGGUCAGGAUGUUGUGUUGAUGUGAGGUGUUCUGGUGGCGAAGUCUUCAAGGCGUGAUAAGGGCUGGAUAACCUUUGGAAACUGUUGUCUUUCUGUCUUUUUGUUGAGAUGUUUAAUCCGAACGUGUUUUUGAACAACUCCGACUGGAUUCACAUUCAGAAGUUUAGCUUCAACCCAAAGCUGAUCGAUCCCAGAGUAGUGAUCAGUUCCACUAUUCUAUAGUGGUAGUGAUGGCAGACAUUUACAGAAAGAGUCGAUCCACUCACCAUCUAAUUGAACUAAAAACACUGGUGACCAUCUGAAAGGGUGACUGAACUUCAUCAGGACAGUUUCAGUUUAACCACAGAUUGACGAAGUUCCCGUCACCUUCAAGAAAGUUUCAGAUUUCUUGCAAACAGUUGUAGUUAAACUUCGGAAUCAUUGCCGCAAGUUUGCAGCAAUUCGUAUUUCCAAAUACAAAUUCUAUGUGUAGCAAACCUGCAGUGGGUUUAGUUGUGACUUUGUGUAAAUGUUUGAUGAUUAGCUCCUUUGUCCUUUAGACUUGGCUUGAUUCAGUCACAUCUCCACAGCCUUCCUGUUGAGAGGCGACACUGCAAACCAAUGAGGAAGUAGCACAAAAAUCAACCUCGAAAUAUGUCCAAUUUGGAUACAACAAUAUGACUUUGUCUGAGAGCGUACAAGAGUCAACUGGACGUCUCUUUUAGGUUCUUCAAGACGUUUCACCUUCAUCCAAGAGGUUUCUUUGGUUCACAGCAACUAAAGCAUCUGAAACUCAGUCAACUAGAGGUGAAGAAGCCUCUUGGAUGAAGGUGAAACAUCUUCAGGAACCUAAAAGAGACAUCCAGGUUGUUUUCUACCAAAGCUCCCAGGAUCACCGUGACCUGGAGAAUCUACUCAGAUGUGCUUCAAUCAGUCAGUUUCCAGGUUGAUUUCCUGUCUAACCUUGAUCCUUAUUGCUCGUUCUCCUGUAUCGCUCCACAGUUUCUAUCUACUUCUAAGAAAGAAAAGACAAUAUGACCUUUGCUGCAGAUUUGUGGGAAAACUACCAAAGUUUGACUACAACUGUCUUCCAGAAGAUGACAAACUAGUAGCAUAUUUAUUACUAGAAGUUUACUAGAAGUUUAGCACCACUAGCUAACUGUUGUCACAAACCGUCAGUGGUAGGAAACUUCUCAUUAUCGCCAGAUUGUUGCUGAAGGUUUGCAUCUGGUGGUAGUUUUCUUUCUGUAAUGUUUUUGCUGCUAGUCGACCUCUAGUUUGUCUCAAAUUUCUACUUUUGUAAAACACCGUAAGCAUAAAUCCACCGUGAGAUUCUACCGGAGGAACUGAAGGACUCUUAGUUGUUCUGUGGGUCCUCACUCAUGCAGUUAGAACGUCUUAUUUAAAUUAUCUUUGACCCCGAAAGUCCAUUCAAACUCAGAUUUUUAAUCAGCGUUUUCUCAUUGGAAGCAGCUCCACCUGUGGUUUAUUUACUUUACUAAGAUGUUGUUUCCGCUGUAGGAGUCUGUCCUGUCGACUCGAUGUUUUUCUCCUCCUCCUGGUUUGCAUGAGGUUUCUGUUGGAGGAGUCAGAGGAAGCAGAGAUCGGUCAUUAAAAUCCUGAUGCUAAUUAUUGGUAUUACUAAAUUAAUAGCUAGUGUGUGUGUGUUUGGAUGUAUGUGUGUGUGACCUAACUAAACCAGCCUGUUCUAAAAGUGUGUGAAACUAUACUGAAUAAAACUGUCAAAUCUCAAAGCUGCCUCUGUUUGUACAGAAAAGCCACAUUAAGCCGGCGAUCAAUCG